rnacentral:lncRNA from 1 species
AACAAUGAUUCAUUUGCAUUUUUAUUUCACCAAGAGAAGAAACAGAAGUUGUCUGGCUUUCUUCACACCAACCAAUAAUUUCGCAUUUUUAAAGUUUGGGAUGUUUUCCAUAAUGAGCUGAAUCAAAAAUCAAGCUUGCAUGCUAAUUUGUCCUUAGUUGCAAGUAUUAUAGGCAAAUUCAUACUUUGCCUAAUGGAAGGAUAACCCUUCUUCGACAUGAUCAGGACUCAACAAUGAUU